rnacentral:rRNA from 1 species
ACCGAAUAGAUACCCUGGUAGUCCAUGCCGUAAACGAUGAGUGCUAAGUGUUAGGGGGUUUCCGCCCCUUAGUGCUGCAGCUAAACGCAUUAAGCACUCCGCCUGGGGAGUACGACCGCAAGGUUGAAACUCAAAGGAAUUGACGGGGGCCCGCACAAGCGGUGGAGCAUGUGGUUUAAUUCGAAGCAACGCGAAGAACCUUACCAGGUCUUGACAUCCCAGUGACCGCUCUAGAGAUAGAGUUUUCCCUUCGGGGACAUUGGUGACAGGUGGUGCAUGGUUGUCGUCAGCUCGUGUCGUGAGAUGUUGGGUUAAGUCCCGCAACGAGCGCAACCCUUGAUCUUAGUUGCCAUCAUUCAGUUGGGCACUCUAAGGUGACUGCCGGUGACAAACCGGAGGAAGGUGGGGAUGACGUCAAAUCAUCAUGCCCCUUAUGACCUGGGCUACACACGUGCUACAAUGGACGGUACAAAGAGUCGCUAACUCGCGAGAGUACGCUAAUCUCAUAAAAUCGUUCUCAGUUCGG